CCUACGGGUGACAGCAGUAGGGAAUAUUGCUCAAUGGGGGAAACCCUGAAGCAGCAACGCCGCGUGGAGGAUGAAGGCCCUACGGGUCGUAAACCGCUUUUGCACGGGGAUAACACCCUCCACUUGUGGAGGUCUGCAGGUACCGUGCGAAUAAGGGCCGGCUAAUUCCGUGCCAGCAGCCGCGGUAAUACGGAAGGCCCGAGCGUUAUCCGGAUUCAUUGGGCUUAAAGGGAGCGUAGGCGGGCGUUCAAGUCAGCUGUAAAAUCGCGCGGCUCAACCGCGCCCCGCAGUUGAAACUGGACGCCUUGAGUUCACAACAGGCAGGCGGAAUUCGUGGUGUAGCGGUGAAAUGCAUAGAUAUCACGAGGAACCCCGAUUGCGAAGGCAGCCUGCCGGGGUGCGACUGACGCUGAGGCUCGAAGGUGCGGGUAUCAAACAGGAUUAGAUACCCUGGUAGUC
rnacentral:rRNA from 1 species